AGAACGAACGCUGGCGGCAUGCCUAAUACAUGCAAGUCGAACGAACUCUUCGGAGUUAGUGGCGCACGGGUGCGUAACGCGUGGGAAUCUGCCCCUUGGUUCGGAAUAACAGUUGGAAACGACUGCUAAUACCGGAUGAUGACGAAAGUCCAAAGAUUUAUCGCCAAGGGAUGAGCCCGCGUAGGAUUAGCUAGUUGGUGAGGUAAAGGCUCACCAAGGCAACGAUCCUUAGCUGGUCUGAGAGGAUGAUCAGCCACACUGGGACUGAGACACGGCCCAGACUCCUACGGGAGGCAGCAGUAGGGAAUAUUGGACAAUGGGCGAAAGCCUGAUCCAGCAAUGCCGCGUGAGUGAUGAAGGCCUUAGGGUUGUAAAGCUCUUUACCCGAGAUGAUAAUGACAGUAUCGGGAGAA
rnacentral:rRNA from 1 species